AAAUUUAGUAUCAGUCUUGAUAAAGAUGAUUCAGCCGGAGUGACACAGAUAAAUUUCAUUGGUAUGAAUUACGUCCCAUUGCGAACAGUCUAAAAGGAGUUCGUCUAAUUGAAGCUGGAUCUGCUGGAAAAAAAUGGUUGCUUCGAAACACGAUAGAAGUGUCAGUUACAUUUAUUUUUCGCUUACUCCAUGUCUGAAUCUGGUUUAAAGCAUCAUUAAUUAACGAUGACGUAACGUGACCUGUUCACACAUUGCUUCCGGAUUUCAGGCUGACUCAUACGCG
rnacentral:misc_RNA from 1 species